rnacentral:rRNA from 1 species
UACGGAGGGGGCUAGCGUUGUUCGGAAUUACUGGGCGUAAAGCGCACGUAGGCGGCUUUGCAAGUCAGAGGUGAAAGCCCGGGGCUCAACCCCGGAAUAGCCUUUGAGACUGCAUCGCUAGAAUUGUGGAGAGGUAAGUGGAAUUCCGAGUGUAGAGGUGAAAUUCGUAGAUAUCCGGAAGAACACCAGUGGCGAAGGCGACUUACUGGACACAUAUUGACGCUGAGGUGCGAAAGCGUGGGGAGCAAACAGG